rnacentral:rRNA from 1 species
GACGAACGCUGGCGGCGUGCUUAACACAUGCAAGUCGAACGGAAAGGCCCUGCUUUUGUGGGGUGCUCGAGUGGCGAACGGGUGAGUAACACGUGAGUAACCUGCCCUUGACUUUGGGAUAACUUCAGGAAACUGGGGCUAAUACCGGAUAGGAUCUCCUGCUGCAUGGUGGGGGUUGGAAAGUUUCGGCGGUUGGGGAUGGACUCGCGGCUUAUCAGCUUGUUGGUGGGGUAGUGGCUUACCAAGGCUUUGACGGGUAGCCGGCCUGAGAGGGUGACCGGCCACAUUGGGACUGAGAUACGGACCAGUAUCCUACGGGAGGCAGCAGUGGGGAAUAUUGCAGAAUGGGCGGAAGCCAGAUGCAGCAACGCCGCGUGCGGGAUGCCGGCCUUCGGGUUGUAAACCGCUUUCGCAUGUGCCGAAGCGUGAGUGACGGUAAUGGGUAAAGAAGCCCCGGCUAACUACGUG